CAUGAAACCGAACUGGUUCACAGAUAUAGAUGUCAUCUCCCUCACCCUCGCCUCGAUCACCGCUCCCAAUCCUUCAUGGUGUGACUUAUUAAUUUGAUACCCCUAUAUUGUUGCAGCACUGGAUGUCCCAUUUGUUUUUGUACAAGGGCACCACUGUACUCCACCUCCAUUCCUCCCAGUGUUUUUGAUAGCGCGCGGCGACAAAUAGCGACGAGGGCUCGCUUCAGUGAGGCGAG
rnacentral:lncRNA from 1 species